GGGGGCUGUGAGGCGGCUUCGGGAGCGCCGUCCCCGGAGUAGGGCAGGAGGAGCUCGUAGGCUGGUCGCUUUUGGCAGGGGAAUAAAAGGCACGUCCGGGUUGUUUUCGGCAGAUUUCUCCCUUCCUUCCCUCCCCCGCCCACCGUCGUAUCGGAGAAGAGCCGGAGAAACUCGCGGAAAGCCCUGGUUCAGUAGUUGCGCACAAAGUCGCGUUGAGUUCAGUGGUGCGAGGUUAACCCUCAGGAAAACGCGGCGUAGGAUCGCAGCCUGUGUGUGUGUGUGUGUAUCUUUUUUUGGAAACUUGAGUCGCCAAAGUCAGCAGGUAAGCCGCGGGGGUCAGGCAUGUCCCGGGGGGAGGCACGGUAACGCUGCUCCUUCCCAUCUCCGGCGGCUCCUGCCAGAAAAGUCCCUUGCGGAGCAGAGGCGGACUCAGCCUCGCACACUGCCAAGAAAGAAGAGCGCUAAUCGAGGACGUGAAAUCGGGCGCGUCCUAAUCUGAACGUUUGAAAAGACGAAACGGCGCGGUUUUAUUGCGCCUGCUGGGAGAAGCGAAUAUAGAAACGACACGGGCGCCGUCCCCGUUUUGCUGUCCUCUGUGCGGUUCCAUUGGCAGUUGCCAGGGUUGUAAUAAACUUAUGAACUCU